GGAGCUAUGGCACAGUGGUAGCGCAUCGGAUUGCAGAUCCGCAGGUCCCGUGUUCGAAUCACGGUAGCUCCU